rnacentral:rRNA from 1 species
UACGUAGGUGGCGAGCGUUGUCCGGAUUUACUGGGCGUAAAGAGCGCGCAGGCGGUCGUGCAAGUCGCGUGUGAAAGCCCCCGGCUCAACUGGGGAGGGUCACGCGAUACUGCUCGACUCGAAGGCAGGAGAGGGAAGUGGAAUUCCCGGUGUAGUGGUGAAAUGCGUAGAGAUCGGGAGGAACACCUGUGGCGAAGGCGGCCACCUGGGCCGACCCUGACGCUGAGGCGCGAAGGCGUGGGGAGCGAACGGG